rnacentral:tRNA from 1 species
UAUUCUUUUAGUAUUAAUAAGUACAACUGACUUCCAAUCAGUUAGCUUCGGUACAACCCGAAAAAGAAUAA